AUCCAUCUGAUGAGUCCAAAAUAGGAUGAAACGAUCGUCUUGAAU
rnacentral:hammerhead_ribozyme from 1 species